rnacentral:lncRNA from 1 species
AAAUUUAUUUUUAAACAUGAUUUAUGAUUAUAAGCCCAAAAUAAAGAGAAGAAAAAAAAAAGGAAACUAUUUUGAGUGAUAAAUCCAUAUUUGGUUUGUAACAUCCCACCCAGCGUAGUCUUUGUUGGUGAUAUGUAUGGGCGAAUUGUUUGCUAAGUAUAAGCUAGGGAAAGUUGAUUUACGCCUUAUCCGCCGGUGUUAUGUUAAGUGUUGGUUGUCGUGCCAUGAUUGGUGAACUGUUUGGCUAAUUAGGUAGGUCUAUAAUGACUUGGUUGAAGGAUCAUCUUUUGGCGAAGUAUAGGUUACAUGUCUAUAUGUCUUGGC